rnacentral:rRNA from 1 species
UACGUAGGGUGCAAGCGUUGUCCGGAAUUAUUGGGCGUAAAGAGCUCGUAGGCGGUCUGUCACGUCGGCUGUGAAAACCUGGGGCUCAACUCCGGGCCUGCAGCCGAUACGGGCAGACUAGAGUUCGGCAGGGGAGACUGGAAUUCCUGGUGUAGCGGUGAAAUGCGCAGAUAUCAGGAGGAACACCGGUGGCGAAGGCGGUUCUCUGGGCAUUACCUGACGCUGAGGAGCGAAAGUGUGGGGAGCGAACAGG